rnacentral:rRNA from 1 species
GAUGAACGCUGGCGGCGUGCUUAACACAUGCAAGUCGAGCGAAGCACUUUGGAAAGAUUCUUCGGAUGAUUUCCUUUGUGACUGAGCGGCGGACGGGUGAGUAACGCGUGGGUAACCUGCCUCAUACAGGGGGAUAACAGUUAGAAAUGACUGCUAAUACCGCAUAAGACCACGGUACCGCAUGGUACAGUGGUAAAAACUCCGGUGGUAUGAGAUGGACCCGCGUCUGAUUAGGUAGUUGGUGGGGUAACGGCCUACCAAGCCGACGAUCAGUAGCCGACCUGAGAGGGUGACCGGCCACAUUGGGACUGAGACACGGCCCAGACUCCUACGGGAGGCAGCAGUGGGGAAUAUUGCACAAUGGAGGAAACUCUGAUGCAGCGACGCCGCGUGAAGGAUGAAGUAUUUCGGGAUGUAAACUUCUAUCAGCAGGGAAGAAAAUGACGGUACCUGACUAAGAAGCCCCGGCUAACUACGUG